rnacentral:rRNA from 1 species
AGUGAACGCUGGCGGUAGGCCUAACACAUGCAAGUCGAACGGCAGCACAGUAAGAGCUUGCUCUUACGGGUGGCGAGUGGCGGACGGGUGAGGAAUACAUCGGAAUCUACUUUUUCGUGGGGGAUAACGUAGGGAAACUUACGCUAAUACCGCAUACGACCUACGGGUGAAAGCAGGGGAUCUUCGGACCUUGCGCGAUUGAAUGAGCCGAUGUCGGAUUAGCUAGUUGGCGGGGUAAAGGCCCACCAAGGCGACGAUCCGUAGCUGGUCUGAGAGGAUGAAGCGGCCACAGAGGAACGGAGCCCGGGCCGAGCCCCCUAGGGGAGGCAGAGGGGGGGAAUAUUGAAAAAGGGGCGCAAGCUUGACCCAGCCUACCGGGGUGGGAGAAGAAGGCCUUGGGGUUGUAACCCCUUUGGUGGGAAAAAAAAAGCAGCAGGUUAACCCCCCGUUGUUCGGAGGUACCCAAAAAAAAAGCCACGGGCUAAUUUCGUC